rnacentral:rRNA from 1 species
CCUACGGGUGGCAGCAGUGGGGAAUUUUCCGCAAUGGGCGAAAGCCUGACGGAGCGACGCCGCGUGGAGGAUGAAGGAUUUCGGUCUGUAAACUCCUGUCAGGGGGGACGAUGAUGACGGUACCCCCAAAGGAAGCAUCGGCUAACUACGUGCCAGCAGCCGCGGUAAGACGUAGGAUGCGAGCGUUGUUCGGAAUUAUUGGGCGUAAAGCGUGCGUAGGCGGCUUGUUAAGUCUGGUGUGAAAGCUAGGGGCUCAACCCCUGUGAUGCACUGGAAACUGGCAGGCUUGAGUACGGUAGGGGAAGGUGGAAUUCCGAGUGUAGCGGUGAAAUGCGUAGAUAUUCGGAAGAACACCGGUGGCGAAGGCGACCUUCUGGGCCGUCACUGACGCUGAGGCACGAAAGCGUGGGGAGCAAACGGGAUUAGAUACCCUUGUAGUC